GACGAACGCUGGCGGCGUGCUUAACACAUGCAAGUCGAGCGGUAAGGCCCUUCGGGUACACGAGCGGCGAACGGGUGAGUAACACGUGGGUGACCUGCCUCUAGCUCUGGGAUAAGCCUGGGAAACUGGGUCUAAUACCGGAUAUGACUCCACGGCGCAUGUUGUGGGGUGGAAAGCCUUGUGUGGCUAGAGAUGGGCCCGCGGCCUAUCAGCUUGUUGGUGGGGUGAUGGCCACCAAGGCGACGACGGGUAGCCGGCCUGAGAGGGCGACCGGCCGACACUGGGACUGAGACACGGCCCAGACUCCUACGGGAGGCAGCAGUGGGGAAUCUUGCGCAAUGGGCGAAAGCCUGACGCAGCGACGCCGCGUGAGGGAUGACGGCCUCGGUUGUAA
rnacentral:rRNA from 1 species